GCGUCUCCAUUAUGACCUGGGCUACACACGUGCUACAAUGGGCAGAACAAAGGGCAGCGAAGCCGCGAGGCUAAGCCAAUCCCACAAAUCUGUUCUCAGUUCGGAUCGCAGUCUGCCACUCGACUGCGUGAAGCUGGAAUCGCUAGGAAUCGCGGAUCAUCAUGCCGCGGUGAAUACGUUCCCGGGCCUUGUACACACCGCCCGUCACACCACGAGAGUUUGUAACACCCGAAGUCGGUGAGGUAACCUUUUGGAGCCAGCCGCCGAAGGUGGGACAGAUGAUUGGGGUGAAGUCGUAACAAGGUAGCCGUAUCGGAAGGUGCGGUUGGAUCACCUCCACAAG
rnacentral:rRNA from 1 species